rnacentral:rRNA from 1 species
AGAGUUUGAUCAUGGCUCAGGAUGAACGCUAGCUACAGGCUUAACACAUGCAAGUCGAGGGGCAGCAGGACGAUAGCUUGCUAUUGUUGCUGGCGACCGGCGCACGGGUGAGUAACGCGUAUCCAACCUUCCCCUUAGUAGGGCAUAGCCCGUAGAAAUGCGGAUUAAUACCCUAUGUUAUUCGUCGAGGACAUCUGAAGUGAAUCAAAGGUUUACCGCUAAGGGAUGGGGAUGCGUCUGAUUAGGCAGCAGGCGGGGUAACGGCCCACCUGGCCUACGAUCAGUAGGGGUUCUGAGAGGAAGGUCCCCCACAUUGGAACUGAGACACGGUCCAAACUCCUACGGGAGGCAGCAGUGAGGAAUAUUGGUCAAUGGGCGCGAGCCUGAACCAGCCAAGUAGCGUGCAGGAUGACGGCCCUAUGGGUUGUAAACUGCUUUUAUGCGGGGAUAAAGUGCGGCACGUGUGCCGUUUUGUAGGUACCGCAUGAAUAAGGACCGGCUAAUUCCGUGCCAGCAGCCGCGGUAAUACGGAAGGUCCGGGCGUUAUCCGGAUUUAUUGGGUUUAAAGGGAGCGCAGGCGGAGGCUUAAGCGUGACGUGAAAUGUAGCCGCUCAACGGCUGAGUUGCGUCGCGAACUGGGUUUCUUGAGUGAGUGCGACGUCAGCGGAAUUCGUGGUGUAGCGGUGAAAUGCUUAGAUAUCACGAAGAACCCCGAUUGCGAAGGCAGCUGACGAGCCCUUUACUGACGCUAAAGCUCGAAGGUGCGGGUAUCGAACAGGAUUAGAUACCCUGGUAGUCCGCACGGUAAACGAUGGAUGCCCGCUGUAUGCGAUACAAUGUAUGCGGCCAAGCGAAAGCGUUAAGCAUCCCACCUGGGGAGUACGCCGGCAACGGUGAAACUCAAAGGAAUUGACGGGGGCCCGCACAAGCGGAGGAACAUGUGGUUUAAUUCGAUGCUACGCGAGGAACCUUACCCGGGCUUGAAAGUUAGUGACGGACCUUGAAAGAGGUCUUCCCUUCGGGGCACGAAACUAGGUGCUGCAUGGUUGUCGUCAGCUCGUGCCGUGAGGUGUCGGCUUAAGUGCCAUAACGAGCGCAACCCUUUUCUCCAGUUACCAUCAUUGAGUUGGGGACUCUGGAGACACUGCCAUCGUAAGAUGUGAGGAAGGAUGGGAUGACGUCAAAUCAGCACGGCCCUUACGUCCGGGGCGACACACGUGUUACAAUGGGCAGGACAGAAUGGAUCGAAGUGGCGACACUGAGGCAAUCACGAAACCUGCUCCCAGUUCGGAUUGGAGUCUGCAACCCGACUCCAUGAAGCUGGAUUCGCUAGUAAUCGCGCAUCAGCCAUGGCGCGGUGAAUACGUUCCCGGGCCUUGUACACACCGCCCGUCAAGCCAUGAAAGCCGGGGGUACCUGAAGUCUGGUGUAAGCAGCCGGCCUAGGGUAAAACUGGUAAUUGGGGCUAAGUCGUAACAAGGUAGCC